CUACGGGUGGCAGCAGUGAGGAAUAUUGCACAAUGGGGGGAACCCUGAUGCAGCAACGCCGCGUGGAGGAUGACGCAUUUCGGUGUGUAAACUCCUUUUAUGAGUCAAGAAAAUGACGGUAGCUCAUGAAUAAGCACCGGCUAACUCCGUGCCAGCAGCCGCGGUAAUACGGAGGGUGCAAGCGUUACUCGGAAUCACUGGGCGUAAAGGACGCGUAGGUGGGAUUGUAAGUCAGGUGUGAAAGCCUAUGGCUCAACCAUAGAAUUGCACUUGAAACUACAAACCUAGAGUAUGGGAGGGGGAGAUGGAAUUAGUGGUGUAGGGGUAAAAUCCGUAGAUAUCACUAGGAAUACCGAAAGCGAAGGCGAUCUCCUGGAACAUUACUGACGCUGAGGCGUGAAAGCGUGGGGAGCAAACAGGAUUAGAUACCCGCGUAGUC
rnacentral:rRNA from 1 species